ACAGCUCCCGCCGGCCCCGCGGCGCUACCUGUCCCGGCAGGUGAGCGCCUGACGGGGCUCCUUCCUCGGGCCUGCGGCUCCUCCUCCUCCCCGCCUCGCCGCAGGCCCGCCCGGCAGCCGCGAUGCCGUUCCCCAGCUCCGGCGCGGACGAUGCCUUCGACUACCUCUUCAAGAUCAUCCUGAUCGGCGACUCCAACGUGGGCAAGACGUGCGUGGUGCACCGCUUCAAGACAGGGCAGUACAACGAGAAGCAGCAGAACACCAUCGGCGUCGACUUCACCGUUCGCUCGAUGGAUAUCGACGGCAAGAAAGUGAAGAUCCAAGUGUGGGACACAGCCGGUCAAGAGCGCUUCCGGACAAUAACCCAGUCUUAUUACAGGAGUGCCCACGGGGCCAUCCUUGCCUAUGACCUUACUAGGAGGUCCACAUUUGAAUCCAUUCCUCAUUGGAUUCAUGAAAUUGAAAAGUAUGGUGCUGCAAACUUGGUCAUGAUGUUAAUUGGGAACAAAUCGGAUUCUCUGGACAAGCGCCAAGUGCUGUUUGAAGAUGCCUGCACCCUGGCAGAGAAGCACGGGCUCUUGGCUGUGCUGGAAACAUCAGCAAAAGAAGCUCAAAACAUAGAAGAGGUGUUCACAUUAAUGGCUAAGGAGCUGAUAGCCCGAAAUACCUUACAGCUUCAUGGGGAGAACCCUCCAAACAGCUUCAGUCUUGACUCCAGGCCAGUGAUUGCCAGUCCAAGUGUGGAGAAGACCCAGUGCUCCUGUUGAAGAGAGAUUUCAGGGAGAACUUGGAAACUGCCAUUCUUCUGAGGCUGUUUGAUUCAGUUUUGUUCAGUUGAUGAAAGUGUUCUAUGUGGCCUCAAGCCAUCUCUCUCGAUAUUUCUACCUUGCAGUUUGGCUUGUCUAACAGGCUUCCUACUCCUCCAAGAAACUUAGUCUUGGACACCUACCCAUUAUGCAGCUAAACCAGGAGCGUGACCUCUUUUGGUUGGUUCUGUUUGGCAUUUUCCAUGAGGCCUUUGGGCAGUUACACUGAAUGGUUUCCACAGAGUUGCUUUUCAAGCUGUCCUCACCAGAGGGAAGAGCAGCACUUGCUAACAAGGUUCUUCGGAGUAUAUUGGUAACGCUGUUCCUCAUGAGGUAAUACAUGAAGCCAUGAACUUUUUAAAAACCUCUUAGUAUAUAGCCUGUUAUUCUAGACUGUGAGAACCACUAGAUUAAAACACAAGCUCAGCAUCUCUGUGGUUCUGCCUUUCCCCAUCAGAGAGCAGAUGGAAACACCCAGCUAUGACAAGGCAAAGCAGCAAUAACUGCUGUGGAGCCUUCUGUUAAUGGCUUGUUCCCCAGCAUCAUAUGCAAAUUCCAAGUGCUUCCUGACAGCAUCAUUAAUGCAUUUGUACAAAGGGUUAUAAAGUUGUUUACAACACUAUUUUAAAAACUACUACUGCCCCACAGGUUUGAGUUUCAAGAGCUGCACAUUCAGCUUGAAGAUGAGCUCAUUUGUUAAGUUCUUAUCUACUGAGAAGUAUUUGAGUUUUUGCAGUGGCACAUUACUUGCACUGGUGUCACAGCCAGGCCAGAUGAGAAGCACCAUUACCUAUUGGUGGAACAGGCUAAUAAAAAUAAUUAGAAAUAUUUUAAAAUAUACCAAAGUGAAGAAGCUGACUAGUUAGAAGCCAACACAACAGCAGCCCUGUGAUGUGGAAGGCACACAGCACUGCCUCUGUGGUCCAGCUUUGCUUUAUAUGCAGGAGACAGGCUCUCAGUUACAAAAGCUGAGGUUCUGACCUAGUCAUUCUAGUUAAUGUUUAAGUAUAGUUGGAAGGGAGACAACUUUCAGACGCUGAGCAGAGGUGGAGCGCUCUGUCCUGGAGCCUUCUUUCAGGAGGAAGAUGCAUGCCUGUGGUUUUGGACAAGGAACUGGAAGUGAAGUUUCCCCCAGCCAGGUGAGUGCUCCAACAGCAGCGCUGUUGGAACAGGUGCCCCUUCCCCAGGUGGCUGCCAGCAGGCAUUCUCCUGGCUCUCAGCUCCCAGAGCCCACGUGUGCCUGCAGGUCUGUGAGAGGGGUUCAAAUAGUCAUUGCUCAGCAAACUGGCUCCUGAAAUGAUUUUCAAGCACCACUCUUAAGCAACUGUGUUAAGAACUGGAACUACACCAAUAGGCAAUGCUGGGAUAUCACACUCUUUUGAGAAUAGUUCUAGACAGGCCAAGUGCCCCUUUGUCCUAAGAGUACUUCACCUUGAAACAGGAAUCCAGU